rnacentral:sRNA from 1 species
UGUAUUGUGAAAGAGCCACUAUAGCGACU